GACGAACGCUGGCGGCGUGCUUAACACAUGCAAGUCGAACGGAGUGGCGAACGGGUGAGUAACACGUGGGUGACCUGCCCUGCACUUCGGGAUAUGCAUGGGAAACUGGGUCUAAUACCGGAUAGUGUGGGAUGGGCCCGCGGCCUAUCAGCUUGUUGGUGGGGUAAUGGCCUACCAAGGCGGCGACGGGUAGCCGGUCUGAGAGGGUGGACGGCCACAGUCGGACUGGGGCACGGCCCAGAGUCCUACGGGGGGCAGCGGUGGGGAAUAUUGCACAAGGGGCGGAAGCCUGAUGCAGGGACGCCGGGUGGGGGAUGACGGCCUUCAGGUUAUAAACUCCUUACACCAUCGACGCGGUAGAUGGAGAAGAAGCACCGGCUAACUACGUGCCAGCAGCCGCGGUAAUUC
rnacentral:rRNA from 1 species